CUACGGGUGGCAGCAGUGGGGAAUAUUUCACAAUGGGGGAAACCCUGAUGCAGCAACGCCGCGUGAAGGAAGACGGUUUUCGGAUUGUAAACUUCUGUUUUUAGUGGAGAAUAAUGACGGUACCUGACUAAGAAGCCCCGGCUAAAUACGUGCCAGCAGCCGCGGUAAUCCGUCGGGGGCAAGCGUUAUCCGGAUUUACUGGGUGGAAAGGGAGCGUAGACGGGACUGCAAGUCCGGAGGGAAAGCCCAAGGCUUAACCAUGGGACUGCUCUGGAAACUGUGGAGCUUGAGUGCGGGAGGGGCAGGCGGAAUUCCUAGUGUAGCGGUGAAAUGCGUAGAUAUUAGGAGGAACACCGGCGGCGAAGGCGGCCUGCUGGACCGUAACUGACGUUGAGGCUCGAAAGCGUGGGGAGCAAACAGGAUUAGAUACCCGGGUAGUC
rnacentral:rRNA from 1 species